GAUGAACGCUGGCGGCGUGCCUAAUACAUGCAAGUCGAGCGAACGGACGCUGAGCUUGCUUUUCUGAUGUUAGCGGCGGGCGGGUGAGUAACACGUGUAUACCCUACCUAUAAUACUGGUAUCACUUCGGGAAACCGGAGCUUAUACCGGAUAAUAUUUUGAACCGCAUGGUUGAAAAGUGAAAGACGGUCUUUCUGUCACUUAUAGAUGGUUCUGCGCUGCAUGAGCGAGUUGGUAAGGUCAAGGCUUACCAAGGCAACGAUGCGUAGCCGACCUGAGAGGGUGGUCGGCGACCCUGGAACGGAGCCAGGGACCAGGCUACUACGGGAGGCAGCAGUCGGGAAUCGUACGCAACGGGCGAAAGCAUGACGGAGCAACGGCGCGUGAGUGACGAAGGUCUUCGGAUCGUAAAAAUCGGUUAUUAGGGAAGAACAGAUGUGUACGGAACUGUGCACAGCGUGACGGUAACUAAUAAGAAAGCCACGGCUAACUACGUG
rnacentral:rRNA from 1 species